CAGAUUAUUCCAAUUAGUUGGGUAUUUCAUUUACACUGAAGUUUUGACCGUGCAACUCGGUAUUGUCUGA
rnacentral:tRNA from 1 species